AUGGUCCCGCUUGGGCGCCUUCCGGCGCUGCCGCUAGCGCGUGGCUCCACGCGCCGCCGCCUCCUCGCCGCCGGGGCCUCUGCCGCCUCACCGCUCCCAUGGCCGGGCCUUCACACCUGGCGCCGGGCUCCUCCCAGCGACCUCCGCUCGUGGGGCCCCAACGGCCCCUGCGUCCCGAACACGGACAAGGCGGGCGCGCCAGAAGCCGGCGCCGGAGUCGGCGACGGCUCGUCCUUGGCCGAGAUGGGCGCCCUCGUGCUGUCCACCGCCGACCCCCUCGCCAAGGCGCACCUCACCCACGCCGCCUUCUCCCGGUGGGCGGCAGGCGGGCUCCCCGUGGGCCUCGCCCGGGCCCCCGACCACCCCGCCAGGCCGGAAAAGCCCCUCGCGGUGACUCAGAAGGAGGUCCCCACGCACAAGGCGAUGGGGGUACCGCUAAACGCGUACAUGCUCCACAACCUGGCGCAUGUCGAGCUCAAUGCGAUCGACCUUGCUUGGGACACUGUGGUGCGGUUCUCGCCGCUCCGGGACACCCUGGGAGAUGGCUUCUUUGCGGACUUUGCGCGUGUGGCUGACGAUGAGAGCCGGCAUUUUCGGUGGUAUUCACAGCGGCUUGCCGAGCUUGGCUUCAGAUAUGGUGAUAUGCCUGUCCACAAUCUUCUGUGGAGGGAGUGUGCAAAAUCCUCAAGUGAUGUUUCUGCACGGAUGGCAGUUAUACCUCUAGUACAGGAAGCUAGAGGCCUUGAUGCUGGACCGAGACUAGUCCAAAAGUUAAUUGGCUUUGCGGACCAUAGAUCUGCAGACAUUGUGGCAAAAGUAGCAGAGGAAGAGCUUGCACAUGUUUCUGUAGGUUUAUAUUGGUUUCUGAAAGUGUGCGAAAUGAUGGGCCGUGUCCCUGGUGCUGCUUUUAGAGAUCUGAUAAAGGAGCAUGAUGUUGUAAUGAGGGGUCCAUUUAACUAUCAGUCUCGUGAUGAAGCUGGUAUACCUCGAGAAUGGUAUGAUGAGACGCUUAAACCUGAAGUUGCAAGCAACCUUUCAGAGGUGCAUGAUAGGCUAGCAUGUGUUAUUGAGAUGGAGAAAGAGAAUGCUAAUUUGAAUGGCUAAAAUCUCACCUGACGAAUACUUGAGAGACUUGGUAGGUACUCCCUCCGUUCCAAAAAAGAUGACUCAACUUUAUACUAAAUUUAGUAUAAAGUUAGUACAAAGUUGAGUCAUCUAUUUUGGAACGGAUGGAUACUACACAGAUAUUCUAGCACACUGAUACCUUUUUCUUGGUUUAUUUUGAUGCCAACCGCCACCAAGCUGCUUACAUCCCUGACUAACCUUGGUUAGGAUAGCUGGAGGGGUGUUUGCCAAGUUGCCGCCCCAAGGCAACAGAUGCGCAAACGCCUCAAAUUUGCACGGUAGUGACCUGUACAGUAGUCAUCAAGACUCUUACCUGCUUGAGGCAUAAUUUGCUGCUGGGAGGCGAGGUGUUGUUGGCCUGAGCUGCAAGAGCCGAAGAACAAUGGACAAAGUGUAACCAGUUCAUGUCAGCUACAGUUCAGUGGAAGGCCAAACGUUUCACAUUCUGUGAUGUAUCAGCGGAUAUGUGUUACAGUUGACCACGAUGCUAUUAAAUCAAUAUAUAGGAUAUUGUCGAUCCGAUC